GUGUGUGUGUGUGUGUGUGUGUGUGUGUGUGUGUGUGUGUGUGUGUGUGUGUGUGUGUGUGUGUGUGUGUGUGUGUGUGUGUGUGCGCGCGCGUGCGCGUGCGUGUGCGUGUGUGUGUGUGUGUGUGUGUGUUUGCAGGUGUUCAAUUAAAUCAAAAAGGGGCAAGACUAUUGGAAUACCUUUUGUUGCUCUAGUGUCCAGAUCACCUGCUCAACACUCAGGUGGUCACCCACAGACCUACUCUUCUGGAAUCUUUGAAUAUUCUGGACGAGCGGACUACACUGAUCCACCUCAACUGCUCUUAUUCUCCUAUCUUCUGUUGGCUUUGUUUUAAAUAUGAUUGAGCCAUUGAUAUAUUGAUAUCAUAUGUGGUUUCAGUUCUUAUACAAAUAGGCUUCUUACUUGAAAUACCUAAAAGCUACAAUAUUGUUUUCUGGCUCACGUGCGAGUAACAGUCCAUGCCUUUGAUAUAUUUAUAGUAAAUAUAUAUAUAUAUAUAUAUAUAUAUAUAUAUAUAUAUAUAUAUAUAUAGAUGAGCCACCUUUGCUCUAAAUAUAUAUUCCUAAAAUAUAUUCAUUAGCCAUGGCAAGGCCGAGGCAGACAAACCAAGACAAAUCUUUUCUUUUUAAUUUUACGAAUUUUCAUUAACCCUUUUUCAAACAAACAUGUGUAUCUUCCCUGUACUUCUGUUAGCUACCUUUCAAUAAAAUCAUUACGAUCCCCUGAGCUCAUCCUCCCUGAGCAGGUGGCCUCGCGGGGCUCCCGGCCCCCACAGAACGACCAGGUGGUAAGCAGGUCCAGUGGCCAUGGGGUGAACUGCACUGAGGCCAAGACAUCAAGAGGGAGACUUAAAGUAAGAGGCCUAUCAGCGGCCUAUCACUGCAACUUAGCGCAGCAGGCCCGCUAGUCGCUUUAAAAGAGACUCGGGAGCAGUUUGAUGCUGUUGUCGAAUCAACCCUGAAAGCUCCUCAGGUGAGGAUGGAGAGGUGGAUAGCUCAGGAUUUGUAAUGAUGACCCAAAGCACGUUCCUGUGUACCUUAUCUUACUUAUCUAAGAGGAUGAUGCUGAGCAUGGAGGCAUGCAGCACAGACCUCUUGUUCAUCUUCAUUGCUUCUAAUUAUAUACCACAGUAAGAGGCUGUAUUUCCAAUAUGCUAUUAUCAUCUCUUAAUUCAUCUCUGGACUUACAUAGGAUUUAGGACUAAUUAUUUUAUUUAAAGGUAAAGGUCCUGAUUGGCUAGCAUGCACAAUGCAUUAGUAUCCGGCAGGUAGGCCUAAGUGAAUAUAUUUUAGUGUUCAUCAUGCCUUAUUGUUCUGUCUCUGUUGUUGUCUUUGUCAUUAUGAAGAUGAAUGAAUAAAUAAAAAAACAAAGAUG
ensembl:lncRNA